CGUAGCCGCUGUGUGCAAUGUGAUGGAACGGGUUUUAAGUGGCAAACUGUUCUUUUUUUAACAGUGCUGACGAAUUUGGCUUGGUGUAUCGCCCUGCAGGUGGUGUAAUGGUGGAUGUUUAGUUCAGGUUGAUGAGAAAUGAAGGUGUUUCUGUGUGCUGGCGGUUCCGUCCUGGGGAAUAACUGCCGGUGUCUCCAUGGUCCGUCAGCAUUGAGGAAUACUUGAUAAGAAGAUAUGGAUCGAAAUUUCCUUGGUUGGUACCAUAUUCGACCACACGUGUCAACGCUGCUAGGUACAAAUGUUUACCUUAGAACGCUUCAAGUCCUCCAGCAGACAAUAAGAUCACAACUUGAUCUCAUCCUUGGGAUAAUUGUAGAGUUGAAGAUCUUCACAGCUAGUUGCUAACUGAGAUUACUGCACAACUGUACCGAGCCGACCCGAACAUAUCGCGGGGACUGCGAGGCGAUUGCAGUGCAGGCACGAUGACCGCGCACAUUCCUGCACGGUGUUCGGAAGAGGAGAUCCACACUGGCCGGCCCCUCAUCUCAAGUGACGCAAACACCAAAUUAUUUCUUUUUUAAUACUGGAGAACAUAUCAGGAUCUGACAAGAUACUAAUCCGGGGAAAAAUCAUAUAAACAAUAACAACAAAAAAUGAUGACUUCGAUUACUAUAAAAAGUGGCAAAUUGUUAGGCCUAUACAUAGAAACACACAUGUACACGUGUUCAGAUUAACGGAGGACAAUCAGACUUCAAGAUGUAAUGGUCAGAAUUCGUGUUUCCCAUUCUAUAAAUUACAGUUUACAUCUGGUUCCUAU